CAGCAAAAAGCAACACUUGCAAAUUAAGGCAAAACAUAAAAUGAGUCUAUCAAUAUCAUCAGUUACUCAUCCAUCGUCAGUUAUGGGUUCUGAUGCUUCUACUGCUCUCACUAACGUCUUUGACUCUGGGAAGUACACCACCAAGUUUCAAAGGAUAGAAUCUAACUCAUGCAAUGGCACACACCCUGAUCCACCUCCACCAAAGUCACUCUUGAUUGCUACACCUCUUGAAGGUGGAGAAUUCCCAGUUCUACUUUUCCUGCAUGGCUACCUUCUUUACAAUUCAUUUUAUUCCCAGCUUAUCCAGCACAUUGCUUCUCAUGGCUUCAUUGUCAUUGCUCCUCAGGUAGAGUAGUCCCCACUGUGAACAUGGUUGAAGGAGGAAGAAGAAGAUGAAUGUGAGGUUUGAAUUGAGGCCAGGGAUAAGGCUAAAAUCUCCUGAUAGCACCACCAGUAGAACCUUCGUUCCAUCUCUACACAUGGCUACUUCAGUUACCAGCUGUGGGUUGGGAUGGAAAUCUUCCUCCUUGUUUGCACACUCUACUACUACUUGCUUCAAUUUGAUUUCUCCUUCUUUCAAACCAAAACCCAAGUUUUCUCUCACUUGCUCCGCUGCCUCCUCCUCUUCUGGUACCCUCUUUUCUUCCUAGACUCAACAUUUUCAAUACCAUUUGUUUCUUAUAAGUUAUAUGGUGCUUAUAACUUGUGGGUUUCAAUAAAGUUUUAAACUUGCUGCUGUAUCAAUGAGUUAUUGACUUUGAAGAAACUUUUUUUCUUAUGGCCUGUACCAUUUUGAAAGUUAUUUUUUGCUAGUUUUUUUAUGUGCCAAGCUUUCCUUAUGCCUAAUUUGACCUGGGGUUUUUGUCUGGGAUUAUUUUGGAAUCAAAAUGUAUGUUAUGUAUCUAUGACAUUAUAUCAAUUGUGGGAUCUUGGGGUGUAUUGUGAUUCAUACUUCUUUUUUUAUUUUUUUAUUUUGUGAUUCAUACUUCUUGUUAGCACUGAUCAUUGUCAUUGUAUGAUUGAACGAAAGAGUAAUUCAGAUGUCAAAUGAAUUUUCUUUGGGUGAUUGCUGAAUAUGAUUGAAGGAAUGAAGAGGGAGGGGAGGUUGUUGUUUGAAGAAUACAUUACCAUUUGUGCCUAGAAGCUGUUUAACUUAGUUUCAGUGUUUGCAAUUGUCUGUUGGUCCAUUUGACAAGGAAUUUGGUUCUCCUAUAUUAAGGUCUUAGCUUUUCAUUUAACUUGAUUUGUUUUCGUAUUGGUUUUCGUAUUGGUUCAACAUUCAACAUGUGCAUCAACUAUGGAGGCCGCCGUGUUAACAAGGAGAAAAUUUACUAGUGUAUAGCCCGUGCAACUGAAAUAUAAAAGAUUCACAACAUCAAUCCUGACUGUAGAACGCAUCAUAUUUACUCGAAGGUCCGAAAAUAUGGUUAAUAUCUUUAAUGCGGGAGUUGUUAUGCUGGUCUGCUCGAUUUUACUCCAAUUACAGUUAAACAAGGUUAACUCUUGUAGGACAAGGCACCCAGAGAAAAGUUGUUGAACUGACUUGUCAUUUGCAAAGGUAACACGUGAAAGCUUGAAUGUCUUCAGGCUAGGGAAACGAAUGCCACUAGGAACAUCUAGAACACAACCCAGUUCUAAAUGCAGCUCAGUCAAUGAUUCAAAGGCCGAGAAACAAUUGGGUAACACAAACUUAUUUACAAGUAGGGAAAGCUUAAGCUCUUCGAUUUUGUGCUUCACUACAGCAGAUAUAAGAGAAUUAAAUCUCUCCUCAUCAAUGGCAACCCCAAAAGACAUGACACCGAGACUUUUUACAUAAUUAGAAUGAUGAAGUAGUCUGUGCACUUGAUCUAAAAGGCAAUAUACUUGGUCUUCUUCCAUGCUGACUAUUGGCAGAUCAUUUUCAAAAUUAAAGACAGAUAAGUCAGUCCAUAAGUACUUCCACCUUUUUGAUAAAACGGAAGUCGCCACUGCAUCUCUGGUUGGGAGUAAAGAAAGAAUGUCAUGAAGAAGGUAAUCAGGUAAGUUACUGACCAUAUCUUUCCUGUUACCCACAUUGUGUCUUUGGAGCUUAUGUGAAUCAGAUGAUGAGUUUAAACCAGCCAUAAGAGCUGUUGUACCUACACAAAAAAGGGUAAGGAAUGUAAUUAUCAACCAGACAAGUCACAACUCACAAGAUAAGCUUCUCAAAGUGCAGUCCGCAACCGCAAUUGCGGCCGCAACAUAAUGGAUUUUGGAUUCACUGCAUCCGCAUCAGGAUUGCGAUUGUGGUCACAUCAACCAGCAUUUGAUCACGAUUCGGCAAUGCAGCGGCAAUCGCAAUUUAAAACCCUAUAUUACGUAAUGGGGUACAUAAUAUAAUAACUGACUCUUGAAUUUCACAUGUAUUGCAACUAAACAAGGUUUGAAUGGUCAUUCGUUGUUGUAAUUCGUACGGACUUAUGGCGGAAAAUACAACGUUACCCGUUUUGGCAGAAACUUUGGUAUAUUAUUGUAA